UCACCAUAUUUUCCUUUUUAUGAGCUUAAAUCCUCUAAAAUCCACAGAAGACAGCGUUAAUAAGUGUGGUUUCUUUUUUUCUUUCUUCCUUUUUUUUUCCCCCAACAGCUACUAUUAAGGAAAAACAAGAAAUGCCCAGUUGAUAAAAUUGAUCAAACAAUAUAUUCUCCAGCAAUAUAACACCAAAUCCUGAAAACAUAAGAAAAAACAAACAAAAUCAGACAUCAUUUGUCCCUACUUAUAAAAAAAAAAAAAGGCAAAAUAACAAACUCCCAAUUAAUAA
rnacentral:lncRNA from 1 species